rnacentral:rRNA from 1 species
CCUACGGGUGGCAGCAGUGAGGAAUAUUGGUCAAUGGACGCAAGUCUGAACCAGCCAUGCCGCGUGCAGGAAGACGGCUCUAUGAGUUGUAAACUGCUUUUGUACGAGGGUAAACGCAGAUACGCGUAUCUUUCUGAAAGUAUCGUACGAAUAAGGAUCGGCUAACUCCGUGCCAGCAGCCGCGGUAAGAUGGAGGAUUCAAGCGUUAUCCGGAUUUAUUGGGUUUAAAGGGUGCGUAGGCGGUCGGAUAAGUUAGAGGUGAAAUCCCGAGGCUCAACUUCGGAAUUGCAUCUGAUACUGUUCGGCUAGAGAGUAGUUGCGGUAGGCGGAAUGUAUGGUGUAGCGGUGAAAUGCUUAGAGAUCAUACAGAACACCGAUUGCGAAGGCAGCUUACCAAGCUACUUCUGACGUUGAGGCACGAAAGCGUGGGGAGCAAACAGGAUUAGAUACCCGUGUAGUC